rnacentral:lncRNA from 1 species
GUUGUAAAUGGUGUAACUAAAGGAUGACGAUAUGGAUAAAUUGUGUCUCUAAGGGAAAUGCAGCGGAUUAUUUCUCCCUGUUUUGAUUCAAAACCUCCCUUAUGUAUGGUCAUAGAUGAGAUACAAAAAAAAUCUAAAGUACGAAAAAACUUGAAAAAGGUACAAAACUUUGUUCCGGAAAUUGGAUAUAGAGAAAUAAAUUCUGACCC